rnacentral:rRNA from 1 species
GAUGAACGCUGGCGGCGUGCCUAAUACAUGCAAGUCGAGCGAACAGAUGAGGAGCUUGCUCCUCUGACGUUAGCGGCGGACGGGUGAGUAACACGUGGAUAACCUACCUAUAAGACUGGGAUAACUUCGGGAAACCGGAGCUAAUACCGGAUAAUAUAUUGAACCGCAUGGUUCAAUAGUGAAAGACGGUUUUGCUGUCACUUAUAGAUGGAUCCGCGCCGCAUUAGCUAGUUGGUAAGGUAACGGCUUACCAAGGCAACGAUGCGUAGCCGACCUGAGAGGGUGAUCGGCCACCCGGGAACUGAGACACGGUCCAGACUACUACGGGAGGCAGCAGUAGGGAAUCGUCCGCAAUGGGCGAAAGCCUGACGGAGCAACGCCGCGUGAGUGAUGAAGGUCUUCGGAUCGUAAAACUCUGUUAUUAGGGAAGAACAAAUGUGUAAGUAACUAUGCACGUCUUGACGGUACCUAAUCAGAAAGCCACGGCUAACUACGUG